AUCGUACCUUGGUACCAGUGUAUCGUACCUUGGUACCAGUGUAUACCAGUGUAUCGUACCUUGGUACCAGUGUAUCGUACCUUGGUACCAGUGUGUGGUACUGUAUCUUACUUUGGUACCAGUGUAUACCAGUGUAUCGUACCUUGGUACCAGUGUGUAUCGUACUUUGGUACCAGUGCACCUUGUGUCUCUCUUCCUUUCUGUGUUCACUUGAUGAGAACGGGCUCCAACCCACGGAGACCGCCUGCGCGUAUGUGCGUGCGCGUGUGCACGUCUGCGAGUGUGUGUGCAUGUGGAAGUUGUGCGAGUGUGUGUGACAGUAAACACCAUGAAUUGAUUGGUUGUUUCAGGGAGAUAGCUUUGUGAAAACAGCUCUUGUUCCCGAUGGAGAGAGAGAGAGAGAGAGACAGAGAGAAAGACAGAGAGAGAGAGACAGAGAGAGAGAGGGAGGUUCAUGGAGGGCCAGUGUGUGAUAGCUGAGACUUCCGCUGUCAUCUGAGGGCUUCAUGCCAAU
ensembl:lncRNA